rnacentral:rRNA from 1 species
UACGUAGGGGGCAAGCGUUGUCCGGAAUUAUUGGGCGUAAAGAGCGCGUAGGCGGUCCGAUAAGUCGGCUGUGAAAGUCAGGGGCUCAACCCUUGAAAGCCGGCCGAUACUGUCGGACUAGAGUCCGGAAGAGGCAAGUGGAAUCCCGGUGUAGCGGUGAAAUGCGCAGAUAUCGGGAGGAACACCAAUGGCGAAGGCAG